UGUUGUAUGUGUAUGCAUGGCUCUUAAAUAACCUUGAGUGAGCCCCCAUACAAUCUCAAUAUAAGGAUUUUGUAUGCCACUUGGGAGUUCUCAUGACACUCAAUAGAUGAAUACUUUUCUCAUUUUUACUUGUUUACAAAAAAAAAUGAAAUAACACCUAUCUAGAUUCAUCUUAACCCUAGAUUUAUCAAGCACUGAGAGUUAUCAAACCUUUGAAAUGGUUAGGUAAAGGCUGACCAAGCCAAUGAUGCUUAGCUAGUCUUUUCAGAUGAUCAACCACAUUGGGACUCAGACACAGCCCAGACUCCCUCGGGGGGAAGUAGUGGGGAAUAUUGAACAAUGGGCUCACGCCUGAUCCAACAAUAUCGCGUGGGUGAAGAAGGGCACUGUCGCUUGUCAAGCUCUUUCGUUGAGUUUCAAUCAUGAUAGGACUCGAGGAAGAAGCCCCGACUAACUCCGUGCCAGUAGCCGCGGUAAGAUGGGGGUGGGCAAGUGUUAUUCAGAAUGACUGGGCAUAAAGGGCACGUAGGCGGUGAAAAGGGUGGAAAGUGAAAGUCGCCAAAGCACUGGCGGGGGUGCUUUCUUGACCAUUUCACUUGAGUGAGAUAGGGGAGAGUGGAAUUUCGUGUGGAGGGAUCAAAUCCUAAGAUAUACGAAAGAACGCCAACCGUAAAGGCAACUCUCUGGGUCCCCACUGACGCUGGGGUGUGAAAGCAUGGGGAGCAAAAGUGCAAACUUUUCCUCAAAUUUUUGCACUAAAAGAAGUUUUUGCACUUCAAUAAAUAUGAUCGUUAUUGGUGCUUGAUAAAUAUAAAU
rnacentral:ncRNA from 1 species